CCGGUGCGGGCGUUGUUCGAGGUACUGGCCGGGUUGCUGGCCCGGCCUACGACGCCAGGUGUGCGUUUCGGUUCGUACCGGA
rnacentral:tRNA from 1 species